ensembl:lincRNA
CUUUUGUUAUGGAGCACAGAGAGGGAUACUGCUAUGGUCACACAGCACCUAAGUGGCCGCACCAGCCUCAGAACAGGCUCUCCUGCCUGAGUUGUGUCCUCGUGAUCACUGCUGGUGUUUCUCCUGCUGGCCCUCGUGACAAGGCUGAUGGCCAGGGCACACAGGAGCAACGGCACUGCUGGUCUAGCAAGUACCACUCUCUGGCUUGCUCCACAGCCCGGCCACAGCAAGGGAGCCUUCUCCACAGCCCAGCCACGUGAGGGAGUCGUCAGCACUGGAACCCACGGUCCACGGCCUCGGAGGAUCCGGACCCCCUCUGCAUUUGAGGAACUUGGCCUCCAGUCAGGGAGCCAAGAAGUCCCUGCCAAUCAAGGAGGGGGUGUGGGCUGGUGGGGGAGGCAGCCUUGGGGCAUGGGAGCUAAUAGACCAAGCUUGAGGGUUCUACUCCUGACUUCUGGAUUUUUCCACCUCUGUAUGGAAUAUGUUCCUUCUGUCUAACACUGUGUGAUUUGGGGACCAUCCAACUCAAAUGAAAGAAGCCAAGCCAUGCAGUGAGCCACCCCCUCCCCAAUGUGGGGUGCCCUCUGCCCCCCGCCCAGCUCCCCUGCCCUCCCAGCUGAGGGAGGAUCGCCGCCUGGUGAUCUCAGCCUCCCCUCCGAGUGGGCUGUGAAGUGUCUAAUCCAGGCUUUCAUCUGGCAUCCACAAUUAUAAUGUCAAGAUUGAAUAAUCUGCCUUUAUCUCCCGGGUGACAGCCAUGUAGAAACUUCAAAAGAAACAGUUUUGCUGGCAUCUAACGGCUUUUGUUAAUUACUAUAUCCCAAAGAAAAUGAAAUAAAGGAGGGAGAAAAAU